GGAUGUGAGGGUGAUCUGGCUGCGACAUUUAUCACCCCAUUGAUUGCCAGGGUUGAUUCAGCUGAUCAGGCUGGCUAGGCAGGUGUCCCCUUCCUCCCUCACAGCUCCAUGUGCCUCCCUCCAGAAGCUGCGCGCUUGGAUAAGACGAUGACCUUCACCAAAUAGAGGACUGAUCAUUAGUCAAGGGUAUACAAGUAGCUGCACUACCCUGCUAGAACCUCCAAACAAGCUCUCAGGUUCAUUUGUAGGAGAACGUAGGGUAGUCAAAACUAUAUUUUUAUAGCAUUAAAUUUAUAAUAA
ensembl:misc_RNA 7SK 7SK RNA